UACGAAGGGUGCAAGCGUUAAUCGGAAUUACUGGGCGUAAAGGGUGCGUAGGCGGUUCGUUAAGUCUGUCGUGAAAUCCCCGGGCUCAACCUGGGAAUGGCGGUGGAUACUGGAUAGCUAGAGUGUGUCAGAGGAUGGUGGAAUUCCCGGUGUAGCGGUGAAAUGCGCAGAUAUCGGGAGGAACACCGGUGGCGAAGGCGGUUCUCUGGGCCUGUGCUGACGCUGAGGAGCGAAAGCGUGGGGAGCGAACAGG
rnacentral:rRNA from 1 species